rnacentral:rRNA from 1 species
ACGGAAGGCAGCAGUGGGGAAUAUUGGGCAAUGGGCGCAAGCCUGACCCAGCAAUGCCGCGUGAAGGAAGAAGGCUUUCGGGUUGUAAACUUCUUUUAAGUGGGACGAUAAUGACGGUACCACUUGAAUAAGCUCCGGCUAACUACGUGCCAGCAGCCGCGGUAAUACGUAGGGAGCAAGCGUUAUCCGGAUUUACUGGGUGUAAGGGCGUAUAGGCGGGACAGCAAGUCAGAUGUGAAAGCACGAGGCUCAACUUCGUGUCUGCAUUUGAAACUGCUGUUCUUGAGUGCUGGAGAGGCUAACGGAACUCCUAGUGUAGCGGUGAAAUGCGCAGAUAUUAGGAAGAACACCAGUGGCGAAGGCGGUUAGCUGGACAGUAACUGACGCUGAGGCGCGAAAGCGUGGGUAGCAAACAGGAUUAGAUACCCUGGUA